AGAGUUUGAUCCUGGCUCAGGACGAACGCUGACGGUGUGCUUUAACAUGCAAGUCGAACGAGAAAGCCCUUCGGGGUUAGUACAGUGGCGAACGGGUGAGUAACACGUGGGCAAUCUGCCCCUCGUAGGGGACAACCGGAGGAAACUCCGGCUAAUACCCCAUACGCUUACGGAACCGCAUGGUUCCGUAAGGAAAGGUAGCUUCGGCCAUCCGGCGAGGGAUGAGCCCGCGGUACAUUAGCUAGUUGGUGGGGUAACGGCCCACCAAGGCGACGAUGUAUAGUUGGUCUGAGAGGAUGAUCAGCCACACUGGGACUGAGACACGGCCCAGACUCCUACGGGAGGCAGCAGUCGGGAAUCUUGCGCAAUGGGCGAAAGCCUGACGCAGCAACACCGUGUGAGCGACGAAGGCCUUCGGGUCGUAAAGCUCUGUUGUUGGGGACGAAGGGCGAGGGGUUAAUAGCCCCGAGCUUGACGGUACCCUUCGAGGAAGCCCCGGCUAACUACGUGCCA
rnacentral:rRNA from 1 species